UACGGAGGAUGCGAGCGUUAUCCGGAUUUAUUGGGUUUAAAGGGUGCGUAGGCGGGCUGUUAAGUCAGCGGUAAAAGCCCGGGGCUCAACCCCGGCGAGCCGUUGAAACUGGCUGUCUUGAGAUGUCGAGAGGUAUGCGGAAUGCGCAGUGUAGCGGUCAAAUGCUUAGAUAUUGCGCAGAACUCCGAUUGCGAAGGCAGCAUACCGGCGGCGAUCUGACGCUGAGGCACGAAAGCGUGGGUAUCGAACAGG
rnacentral:rRNA from 1 species